rnacentral:lncRNA from 1 species
CUCCUUAGCCUCUCCCCGCAACACCAUAUCUCGAAUUCGACUCAGCUUCUCAUCCUCAAACUGCUUUCCCUUAAUCUUGUCAAGAAAAGAAGAUCUUGCCUCCACACAGGCCAAAAAUCCUCCUUUUUCAAGUAUUUCCAGCCUCAUAAAGUCAUUAGCCAAGGUUUGCACCUCUCUAGCCAAUGGGCGUCUAGAAACCUGUAAGUGGGCUAAACUACCCAUGCUCCCUGCUUUUCUACUUAGAGCAUCUGCC